CGGGGGGUCCGGAGCCUAUCCCGGAAGCAAUGGGCACGAGGCAGAUCCCUCACGUCCCCUGACAUAUCUGCAUAUGUGUGCAGCUACGGCCGCAUAAAGACGACGUUUACGGCUGACUUGCUGUUGAGCAGCAACUCUGUGGGUCUGAGGGACUGCAUGAGGAGCUUCAGGAAAGGGAUGGAGUUCUGCAGCCUCUAAUCUCUCCAAGGAACACUGGAGGUAGCGGUUCCGGGCGGGACAGUCACAGUGAGCCCCGCAGAAGAGUGUACUGGCCUGAUGCUGCACCACCACCUCGGCCCAGUCGAAGUCCGG